rnacentral:miRNA from 1 species
UGUGCUUGUGCUGCUCCUG